rnacentral:rRNA from 1 species
UACGUAGGGUGCAAGCGUUUGUCCGGAAUUAUUGGGCGUAAAGAGCUCGUAGGCGGUCUGUCGCGUCGGCUGUGAAAACCCGGAGCUCAACUCCGGGCCUGCAGUCGAUACGGGCAAACUGGAGUACUGCAGGGGAGACUGGAAUUCCUGGUGUAGCGGUGAAAUGCGCAGAUAUCAGGAGGAACACCGGUGGCGAAGGCGGGGUCUCUGGGCCGAUACUGACGCUGGAGGAGCGAAAGCGUGGGGAGCGAACAGGAUUA